UAAAUACUCCAUCCGUCCGUAAUUAUUUGUCACACAAAUGGAUAAAAAUAUAUGUAUCUAGAAUUGAAAUGCAUCUAGAUACAUCCAUUUCUAUGACAAAUAUUUUCGAACGAAGGGAGUAUAAG
rfam:Hordeum vulgare subsp. vulgare, WGS project CAJW01000000 data, contig: morex_contig_51894